rnacentral:rRNA from 1 species
AUGGCGAACGUGAGCAUCUCGAAGCCGGCCAAGCGCCUGACGGGAAAGAGCAGCUUCAGGUUCGGCUUGCCGCUGUUCUGUGGCCGGUCUGACGUGGCGAGCCCCGGUGCUGCCGUCGCUCGGUCGUCCUCGAGCAGGAGGUCGUCCGGCACCGGCAGCAGCAGGAAGUCGGAGCUGCGCAGGAUCUUCCAGCACUUCGAUAGGGACAACGACGGGAAGAUCUCCGGCGCUGAGCUGAGCGCCUUCUUCGCGUCCAUGGGCGACGACCUGACGGUGCCGUCCUCGUCGUCGGAAGGCGGGUACCUGCUCGACUUCGCCGGAUUCGUGGCGCUGAUGGAGAGGGGGGAGGGCAGCCAGGAGGAGGACCUGAGGAGGGCGUUCGAGGUGUUCAACGCCGUGGACCAGCCCGCCGGGAGGAUCACGGCCAGGGGGCUGCGGCGGGUGCUCGCCCAGCUCGGCGACGACCGGUCCGUCACCGACUGCGAGGCCAUGAUACGGGCCUACGACGUCGACGGCGACGGCGGCCUCGACUUCCAUGAGUUCCAGAGGAUGAUGAGCUAG